rnacentral:rRNA from 1 species
UACGUAGGGGGCGAGCGUUAUCCGGAUUUACUGGGCGUAAAGCGCGUUAAGGCGGUUGGCAAAGUUGGUGGUGAAAUCCCAGGGCUCAACCCUGGAACUGCCUCCAAUACUGGUCGACUAGAGUGUGAGAGAGGAAGGUGGAAUUCCCGGUGUAGUAGUGAAAUGCGUAGAUAUCGGGAGGAACACCGGUGGCGAAGGCGGCAUCCUGGACCGACACUGACGCUGAGGAGCGAAAGCCAGGGGAGCAAAGCGGG